AAGACUAUACUUUCAGGGAUCAUUUCUAUAGUUUGUUACAAAUGAAUGACUAUUAGAAAGAAUAGAAGUCAUCCACAUUACUGA
rnacentral:snoRNA from 1 species